rnacentral:rRNA from 1 species
GACGAACGCUGGCGGCGUGCUUAACACAUGCAAGUCGAACGGAAAGGCCCUGCUUUUGUGGGGUGCUCGAGUGGCGAACGGGUGAGUAACACGUGAGUAACCUGUCCCUGACUUUGGGGUAACUUCAGGAAACUGGGGCUCAUACCGGCUAGGAGCUCUUGCUGCAUGGUGGGGGUUGGAAAGUUUCGGCGGUUGGGGAUGGACUCGCGGCUUAUCAGCUUGUUGGGGGGGUAGUGGCGUACCAAGGUUUUGCCGGGUAGCCGGCCUGGGAGGGGGACCGGCCACAUUAGGACUGAGAUAAGGCCCAGACUCCAACGGGACGCAACGGUGGAGAAUAUAGCACAGUAGGCGGAGGGCAGAUGUAACAACGCCGCGUGCGGGAAGAGAGCCUUCGGGUUGUGAACCACUGUCGCCUGUGACGAGGCGUGAGUGACGGUAAUGGGUGAAGAAGCACCGGCUAACUACGUG